CACGUAGGCGGAUCGUUAAGUCGGGGGUGAAAUCCCAGAGCUCAACUCUGGAACUGCCUUCGAUACUGGCGAUCUUCGAGUCCGGGAGAGGUGAGUGGAACUCCGAGUGUAGAGGUGAAAUUCGUAGAUAUUCGGAAGAACACCAGUGGCGAAGGCGGCUCACUGGCCCGGUACUGACGCUGAGGUGCGAAAGCGUGGGGAGCAAACA
rnacentral:rRNA from 1 species